rnacentral:rRNA from 1 species
AGCAGCCGCGGUAAUUCCAGCUCCAAUAGCGUAUAUUAAAGUUGUUGCAGUUAAAAAGCUCGUAGUUGAAUUUCGGGGUCUGUCCAUUGGUCGGGCUUUACGGUCCGUACUGGUGAGAUGGGUUCCUACCUUCUGAAUAACCAGCAUGCCAUUCAGUUGGUGCGUUGGGGAAGCAGAGCUAUUACCUUGAAAAAAUUAGAGUGCUUAAAGCAGGCUAGUGCUUGAAUAGAUUAGCAUGGAAUAAUAAAAUAGGACGGCAUGGUUCUAUUUUGUUGGUU